CGAGAUUCCUCGUGUCUAACUUCUUAGGAGACCGCUGCUUUCUGCCUCCGUGUGUCGCGAUGUGUGGCUUUGGUGGACGUCUGUGAAGGAAAUCCAGCCUCUCGCGUGUGUAGUUGGCAAAAGGAGGAGUAUUUCUGUUGAUGGUGGGCAGCGCCUCCCGGUCCUAACCCAGGGCUCCGUUCGUUGCACCUCCUCUGUGCAGUUUCCAUGCUUGAAGACAGCACAUUUGACAGCCUUCUUAUGCACUGGAACACAAGUGCUCG
rnacentral:lncRNA from 1 species